UACUAGAGUAGCACUCGCAUAUCAAUAAGCGGAGGAAAAGAAACUAACAAGGAUUCCCCUAGUAACGGCGAGUGAAGCGGGAAGAGCUCAAAUUUGAAAUCUUAAAGGGUUUCCCUUUACGAAUUGUAGUUUAAAGAAGUGUUUUCUGUUGAGGUUUUGGUAAAAGUUCUUUGGAAUAGGACAUCAUAGAGGGUGAGAAUCCCGUAUUUGACCCUUACUUUCAACUUUGUGAUACACUUUCAAAGAGUCGGAUUGUUUGGGAAUGCAGUCCAAAAUGGGUGGUAAAUUUCAUCUAAAGCUAAAUAUUGGCGAGAGACCGAUAGCGAACAAGUACCGUGAGGGAAAGAUGAAAAGAACUUUGAAGAGAGAGUUAAACAGUACGUGAAAUUGUCAAAAGGGAAGCGUUUGACACCAGUGUUGUUUUUCUGAAAAUCAAUUAAAGAACUGUUUAUGCUAAGUUGUUCAGACUUUAUCAGCUAACUGUUUAGUUUUGAGCUUUUCUUUAAUGCACUUUUCAGUUAACAAGUCAACAUCAAUUUCUUUUGCUGUAAAAAAGCUUGAGGAAGGUGGCUUGAGAUUCGUCUUAAGUGUUUAUAGCCUCUUGCCUAUGCAGUCGGAGAGAUUGAGGUCUGCAGCGUAGAUCCUUCGGGGCUAAAUGCAUUUGUGCUAAGUUAUAGCAUUUUAUAGACAACUUGUUGACUAUGAUUUGUCUUGUAGCUUACUCGCUUAUGUUAUUUUACCUACGCUUAGGAUGUUGAUCUACAGAGCGAGAGU
rnacentral:rRNA from 1 species